UAAUCUAUUUAGAGCAAAUCAUUAUCUAGUUAUAGCAAACUCAAUUCUAACGAUUUAGAAUCACUUGUUAUUGCAAGUUUAUUUAUAUCAUUGACACUGGAAAACAUAGACAACUAUUGUGCGAACAAUAAUUUUUUUUUGAGA
rfam:Populus trichocarpa scaffold_15_contig_93, whole genome shotgun sequence.